rnacentral:lncRNA from 1 species
UUUUUUUUUUUUUUUUGUCGACGGAGUGGGUGUCCGGGUCAAGUCCGUAAAGGCGGCCCGAUUAAUCCCCACUCCGGCCCGGCCCAGCGCUCCAACCAGACCUAACACGUUAAAUGCACGGCGAACUGAUGUUGCUGCGGAGGUUCGACCCCAGGACCUAACGGUCCCGAGGAGGAGGCGCCAACCACCAGCCCAUUCACGUGGAGGCAUCUAUAUGUAAUUCGAGAGAGAGUAAAAAUGCAGUUAUGAGAAGAAGAAUAUCUAGAGCUGGGGCCGGGCAGGGCUGAAGAGAAAGUUCGCAAUAGUAGCUAAAAUUUUGGUAUGUUAUCUCACAUUGUUACAGAGUAUAAUUGAAUUGACACGGACAGGGACACGGGACUCAUUCUGAAUCAGAACAUUAGGAGAGUCAACCGGGGUAAAGCUGAGCACAGGGCUCGAGAAUGGCAGAGACACAAUUAUUGGGACUCGCACAUAUCCAUUCAUCAUCAGCCAGUCCAGCACCCCUCUAAUCCUUCUUUCUUUCUCUUCCUUUACGUACUUGAUUCAAACUAGCAAUAAAUUUGAUUUUACCUCUGAGUCUACUGCCACUACUUCGACUACUGCAUAUCUUAUAUCAUCAACCAUAACAACAACAGAGCAACUCCCGCGGGCAGCCUACUGCUCCUCUAUCAAGUUUCAUUUAUAUCCAUGAUGAUCAGCAGAUUUUCUGGAUGACCCUUACCAUAUCAUAUGACAUAGUAUGACUUGCUCUUUUUUUUUUUUUUCUUUCUCUAACAUGUGAUGUGCCCAAAUGGAUUUUCAAGCCCUUCUUCUAUUUGCUACUUUUCAAGAAAGAAGAAAAUACACUACUAGGAGUUUGUUUGGAUUGUCAAUUAUUAGAGAUAUUUUUACUAUAGCACUUUUUGUGAUGUGAUGUAUGUGAGAUAAAAAGGUAAUUGGGAAGAUAAAAAGGUGCGUUGGAAAUUGUAAUGAUGAUGUAAGCAAAUAUAUUUUGACAAAUAAACCGCAAUCCAAACAAACCAUGAUUAUGGUUAGGCUCUCGAAUGAUCACGAUUAAGGAAUGUUGUAGUAGUAGCAUCAAGUCUUGGAAAAGGGAUUCCCCAUUUUCUGGGAUUUAGCAAUUGGACUCAAAUUGCAAUCCUCAGAGGAAGGAGAUGGCUACGAUUUUCAGACAACAAUACUAGUACUAGUAAUAAUCAAAGUUCUUUUUUGGCACGGGCAGAUUUUAUGGGAUAUAUCAAUAAAUCAUCAUAUCCUAGCAGUCUGCCUCACUUCGAUUCGAGCCUGCAGGCCUUGUUUGGAUUGCUGUUUUUCGCCGAAAAAAUGUUUUAUUUUCCGUGAACACAUUUUUCUAUCACCUUUUUUCCUCACAUACAUCAAAUCGCUAUAGUAAUUUUUCUAUGAAAAAUCAUGAAACCCCGUUUGGAUUGCAUUUUUCAUGAUUUUUUAUGAAAAAAUUACUGUAGUGAUUUGAUGUAUGUGAGGAGAAAAAGUAAUAGAAAAAUGUGAUCACGGAAAACGACGCAAUUUUCCGGCAGAAAAUGACAGUCAACAAACAAUACUGAACUUUUUGGAAGGGGGGUAUAUUGAUCUACUGAAAUGAGAGCAUGAAUGAAUUAAUUACCCGUGGAAUAAACGCUUUCAGAAGCUUUCUUCCACCACAAAAAAGGACAAAAAGAAAGAAAGUUCGUUUAAAAAAAAAAAUGAAGGCAGCCACAAGAAUCGAUGACUACAUAAAUAUACAUAUAUAUAUAUAUAUAUAUAAUUCUGGGGAAAGAAGAAUCGAUGACUAUUGUCAAGUCGCGCGCUAUCUAUCAUGCAAAAGGUUUCCCUAAGAAUAAUUGGUCAGAAAUAUAAUAAUAAUAAUGUGGGUCGCAGGCAGAUAUUUGUAUCCAUGAGAGAGGGCAGAGGGUCAAAUAGUGAAAAGAAGAACCUCGGGCCCCUAAAAAUAUAAAUAUCCAAUUUGAAUCGCUAUUUACUACUGCUACUAAACAAACGCUCAUCAUUGAAUUAUGGCAACUAAUUAGUGCUUUUCACGUUUUGGUUAGCCUAGAUUAGUAUUGAAAAUUGAUCCGAUGCGGCCACUGAUUCUUGAUGAUUUCUUCUAAACUGAUUUCUGAUUUUCGUCAAAGACCUCGGGGGCAAGCUACGGCUGGAUUUGGGCCGUCGUCGGUCUCGUAUAUAUUAUUGAAAAAUUAAAUCUAAAUAUGGCCACUAAUUAGGGGAUGUCACGUGUUUGUUAAAGCUGACAAAAGAGAAAUAAUUUCUUCCAUUCUGAUAAUUAUGAGGAUGGCGCCCGUGACAGAUUACAUAUAUAUAUAUAUAUAUAUAUAUACGUAUAUAUAUAGAUUAUAGAGCCAGUCACAAGGCUAUACUAUUAGCACUAAGCCAAGUCGGAGUUCAAGUUCAAGGUUGGUCCUUGGCAACUUCUAAGUUGUCUUAUCGAACAGAUGUUAAUAAGUUAACUCAGCUUGAAAAAGUUAUUGACAACGUUAUCCCGACAAUUUUGACUAAUGAUGGGGAGCAGAAUGAAUGAAAUAACGAGAUAGAGAAAGUCUAGACAACAUAAUUAUCUCAAUAAUUAUUUCUUUAUGUAUGUGUGUUUUAUUAUUAUUAUUUUUUAUAAAACAAAACGAAUAGUAUGAGUAAAAAACUAGUUAGAAAUCAUCCAACACGGUUUAUUUAAUGCAUGAUACAUAAAAUAUGUCUGAUUUGAAAAAUUAUUGAAUUUAACAGAGUUACAAAAAAAAUAUAUAUAUAUAUAUAAAUAUAUAAUGUGAAUCACAAAUCAUCAGAUCUGACCAAUUGUAUAAUUUGGAUUUCCAAUUUUAUUUCACAAAAGUAAAUUGCUACUAUUUGAAAUUGUUUGGAUUCCAUUGUGUUAUGUUUAUAUACAUAUAUAUAUAUAUACACACACACACGUACAUAGUACAUACAUAUUCUUUCUUCUUCGUUAUUUAUUGUUUUUGAGUAGGCUCAAGAACAAGUAGCAAAUUUCUUUUGGUUUUCUAAGGAAUAACGCCAACGCUAACACAAAAUAGCAAGUAGCACACAUAGACACCUUUACCAUACGAAAGAAUUAUAACUUGACGUGAUGAUUUCAGUUCAUAAUAUACUCUUUGUUUCAGCAUUCUAAUGGGAUUUUGAUCUACGCUAUAAUGAUCAAAUUUGUAGAAGAAAUUUUGUGAUAUAACUCAAUGGAAAAUAAGAGAAAUUUUCUCAACCGGUCUUAAUGAUUCCAUCCAUGUUCAUUCUCUAUGAUUUGGUUAGAGACUCACAACCUGAGGAUAAUGCAUGGGCAGAUUGAUACGUCACGCACCAAUUUCACAUAAAAGGGUUGGAAAAAAAGAAGAAGAAGAAGAAGAAUAAGAGGGAAUGAGAGUAAAGCUAGGGCUGUCAACGGUUCGGGUCUAGACUAGGGUCCGGAUUGGAUCCGUCAAAUUUAUCCGAGUAUGGGUAGGGAUUUAAUUCCAUUACCCGGAUCCGGAUCCGGACCCGUUUUGUCAAACAAAAAACGGGUCGGAUAUGGAAUAUAGUAUUCCGACCCGUAUUUGACCCGGAUCCGGAUAUAGAUGGAUUAAUAAUUUAAAAUAUAUAUUUAUUAAUAUAAUUUGAUUAGGAUGAUGUAUUUGAGUAAUCAAUAUAAUUGGACCCGGAUCAUAAUCAAUAUAAUUGAUUAGGGUGAUGUAUUUGAGUAAGGUUAAUUUGAUUUUUUUUGUAUUAGUUAGAAAUUAGUUUUUAAAUAUAUGUUUUUUUCUCAUUUUUAUUAGGAAUUAUAAAUUUUGUUAGUUUUUUUUCGGGUAGACCCGAAUCCAGAACAUAGAGUAAAAGAUCCGUCGGGUAAACGGGUCGGAUCCAGAUCCGAUAUAGUGCGCCGGAUUCGGGUCUGAAAUAAUGAAUUCCGGCCCGUUGACAGGCCUAAGUAAAGCAAUUCUUGGACUCGUGAAAUGAUGCUGAUCUUCCGAUGUCUUUUGUUGGACGAAGAGGCUUAGGCAGCAGAAUAAAGAAUUUAACAAUAUAAUAUGUCGACAUUGUUUCCAGCAAUAUGAAAAAUCCUACUUUACAGUUUACACCAUUGCUUCAUACUAGUAUUAAAUUAAAAAGAAGUGCUACCACCACAUGGGCAUUCUACAAAACCAUAUCCAUAUGCAUCGCAGAAGAUUGCUACUCUUUCCAUUAAUACUACUUGAUUACCUUAGAUUUGAUUUCUUCUGCUUGGAUUAACUGUUUUUUAGGGUGUUUUUGAAAUAUUUUACUGUAGCAAUAUAGAUGAAAACUUUUAUUGUAGAUGAGAUUGUUUUUAAGGUUUUUUUAAAAUAUAUUUUUGAGGUUAUUUUUGAUAUUAUUUUUAUUUGUAUAUUUCUGUAAUAUUGUACAUGAAAAGGCUCUGUUUGGAUGGAAGUAUUUUUCAAAAAUUAGUUUUUCAAAUACAAUAAAAUUUUUUAAAAAGUACUCUAAAAGGUAAUCUAAAAAUUAGUUUAAAUUUUUUUAAAAUUUAAAAGAUAUCUCAAAAUAUAUUCUAGAAACUUUUAUACUCUUAAAUAUCCCAAAAUAAUUUCUAAAAAUAUCCCAAAAUAUACUCUUAAAUAUACUUUUCUAUAGCAAAAUUUUUAAAAACAUUUCAAAAAACAGCUAAUUCAAACGAAAAAUUUGCUUUUUUAAAAAAUAAACAAUCCAAACGGAGCACUGUAAUUUUAAUUUCUUUGUGCCUACCCUAUAUAUUGGUGUGGAGUGCAUACUGCAUAGGAGAGAGUACGUGGAAACUUGCGUUUGCGUACAUAAAGCGAAGCAAAUUUCAUGGAGACGGAUCUUUCAAUUCUCUGUAUGGCCUUUACAGAGAUCCACUGUUGUUAUACCCAUAAAAGAACAUUAUUAAUUGAUCCAUGCAUUAUUGUUGCUGGUGCAUACAAACUCCCAAGUCAAGGACCCCCCCUUCUUUCUCCCUCGAUCUUCUCUUGUUCUUCUUGUAUGUUACAUCACUUCUGUUACUGUCAAUGGGAGUUGACCUCGAAAUAGAGCACUGCCUUUACAUUUCUUCAUUGAUCCCAUCAAUAAUAUUCCUAAAACCAAACUCGAUGUAGAAUGGAGUCAAUCUUAAAAUGAUUACUCAAAGAGUUAAGAGAGGAAUACGAGGCGUUUAUUCUCUAAUUCUAGAAAUAAUUCUGCAAAAUACUUACUAGUAUGAGGCUAAGGCCAACCAUAUGCUGCUUACCAUUGCAGUUUUCUGAAUUCGAGAAUUCUUCCUCUAUCAUCCUAAUGUUCGGCCAUGAAUAUAUCUCUCUCAUGCUAUUACUCUGUAAUAAUAAUUGAAAGAAAAACUUCUUGAGAUGUUUUCAUUCAUGCAAGCCAAAUUUUAGUGUGUAUAUAUAUAUAUUCAUUGAUCUGAAAUUUCUCAUCAACUUGAAAAUCUUACCUGCAAGAUCAAUUCUUAUCAACUCUUUAGCUUUGGCAUCUUGUUCACCUAUCAUGUGUAUGUAAAUGGUUAAAAAUUCCAACUAAAAGAAAAGCAAAUAUCAACUUGAAAAUCUUACCACACACUCCAUUGCCCUAGUGUCUAGUUGACGACCCCCUAAUCAUCCUCCAUUGAUUGGUCUGUGAGGGAAGAAUUAGUAAAGUUACCCGUAGCAUACCGUUUCCUCAUUUAGGAGAUGGCUUUGGCUCCGUUGGGAAGUUAAUAGUAAAAUCCAUCUUAAUUAUUAUGGUAAGGGGGUCAGAGGCAACAAAAAAAGUAGAGCGUGUUUUCCGGUGCAAGGACGAAUAAGCAAAAGCUGAUGCUUCGCCACGUGGGAAAGCAUUGACCGUCCGAUCGUCAUGGAUUCAUCCUUCAUUGAUAGAGAUUUUUGUUGCAAACUGCAAGAGAACUGUAGAAGCAAGUGGUAAGAUUUUGUUGUGCCUGCAGGCUCAAAGAGCCAGUUCAUCCAGUGUUGUUAAGUGUGAUACCUGUACAUGUAAGUGCGUGAGUGCGUGAGAGAGAAGGAGAUAGAGAGGAAAUAUUGGUACUACUAUUACUGUUGGUUGUCUUAAAUUGAGGUUGCAGAGAGGGGUCUCAGAGGCCAUGGCGGCGUUUGCAGGAGCUGUGACUUUAAUGCUUCAAAGAAAGACAAGGAAUUCAAGUUAGCAGCAGCAAGUCCCCAACUCCAAGACUCAGAGAAGAAAACCGUCCUGCUUCCUUCCCUCCUUUCUCUCUCUCUUUCUCUUUCUUUCUUCUUUCUUUCUUUCUUCUCUCACCCCCGCCCUUAAAACAUUUUCCCUAAGCCUGUCCUGAAAACUGAAAAGCUGCAUUAAAAACAAAAGACACCCGCAAAACACACACACCCUUGCAACUUUACUACUACUACUACUACUGCUACUGCUACCACUUCCCACUUAUUCAAACCAACCUACUAGUCCGAACCCCAAAGAAUAAAAAGAAAGGGAAGAAAAGAACUUGAUGUUUCACAGCAUACCAAAUUCUUGUCUAGGGCGUAGAGGUUGAGUUGGGCUAUGGAUUUUUUUGGAGAAUUGAGGAGCAGGAGGGUAGAGUUAGCUGGUGGUGUCUUUCUCACUAGGGGUAGAAAAUGUCUGGGUUUUUUUCACUAGGUGGUGGGAAAGAGCAAGAGCAACAAGAGCAGCAAGAUACUACCAAUAAUAGCAGCUUCUAUCUGUUCAAGAACGAAGAGAUCUAUAACAAGGGUUUUGAGCUAUGGCAGCAAUACUACCAGUUGCAUCAACAAAGAAUACAUCAUCAUCAUCAUCAUCAAGUAGUUGGGCAGGAUGUGGAUUUCUCAGUGGGUCCCAGUAGGAGGAUCAUCAGUAGCGGUAGUGGUGGUAGUGGUAGUAUUGGUGAUGAUUCUUCCUAUAGAUCAGCAGGAUUUAGGGUGAUGAGGCACGGAGGAGGAGGAGGAACUGGUAGUGGCAGUAGUAGUGGUGGUGGUGGUGGUGCUACUAUGAAUUGCCAAGACUGUGGGAAUCAAGCUAAGAAAGACUGUCCACAUAUGAGGUGCAGAACUUGUUGUAAGAGCCGAGGGUUUCAGUGCCAAACUCACGUUAAGAGUACUUGGGUUCCUGCUGCCAAAAGGCGUGAAAGACAACAAGUCUCUGCUCUGCAAACUCAACAACAGCAGCAACAACAAAAUCAACAACAAUUGAGCCUGAUCAGAGGUGAUAACCCCAAAAGACUCAGAGAAAAUCCAGGCGGAGGAGGAGGGGGCUCUUCCUCUCUUGCUUGCACUCGUUUGCCUACUUCCACUUCAGGUAACGUUUGUUUUCUUCAAAAACAUUCCAGCAAAAUAUCAACCAAAGCUCCACGGAGUGGAUUUGAUGGGCGUUUCAUUCAUCUAGAUACAACUAUUUUUCUUAUCUUAAAGGCACACUAGUAGUAGUAGGUAUUAGGUAUGUAGGAAUUAGGAGGAAGAAACAACAAAGCACUUGCACACUCUCAAUCAGAGACUGUAAAUGCUAGCUCUAUAGAGAGAUAUCUCUACAGGAAAGAGAGAAAAUACUCUCUAUACCAACAAAAUUCUCAGCAACACUUGGUACAUAUAUUUAUUAAUAAUAAGAAGUCAUACUCACCACAACCACCACAGCCAGCAAAGAGAUCAUAUCUUCAUAUCCUUUGCGUGCGAUCAAUGAAGUCCACCUUCCAUGGUCAGUCACUCACCCUUUUGUCUUUAUUUUUCUUUCCAUGUCUUCUCUCCUGCCUUUCUUUUCAUUCUCCUCCUUUUACUACUGUUACCGAGUAAACCUGACCAAAAAGUCUUGUUCUUGCUCUAGUAAAAAUGCUUUCUUUGCACUUCCAAAAUUUGCAGUUCCUUUUUCUUUAAAGGCCAUUUUUUUGUGGGUUCUGAUUUUUAUUGGCUUGUUUUUUUGACUAGGGUUAGACGUGGGUAACUUUCCGGCUGAAGUGAAUUAUCCCGCUUCAUUUAGGUGCGUAAGAGUGAGUGCAAUGGAUGAUGCAGAAGAACAGUACGCGUAUCAGACAGCUGUUAACAUAGGAGGUCACGUUUUCAAGGGAAUUCUCUACGAUCAAGGCCUUGAAAGCCGCUACGCUACUAGUGGAAGAGCUGGUGCUGGCGAAGCUUCCUCAGGCGGCGGUGGAGGUCAUGGUCAUCAUCAUGAUCAUGAUCCGCAACCACCACUCAAUCUUAUCGGGACAGCCGCCGCGGCCACCGCCAACGCUGCAGUCACCUCUACCAACCCUGCUCUCACUAUGCUUGACCCUUCCAUUUAUCCAACUCCACUAAGUGCUUUCAUGGCCGGUACGCAAUUCUUUCCACCACCAAGGUCUUAAAACGAAAAAAAAAGAAAACAAAGUGCUAACUGGUAGUUGAGGCUAAAGAGCUUUCCCUUCUUGACUGCAUUCAGUAUACAUUGAUCUGAUGUUGUUUUUCAUUAAGUGUAUUGACCAUUGACAUCCCCCAUCGAAGUAGUUGGGACAAAAAAAGGAAGAACAGAUGAGUAACAAAAAUGUACCAUGACAUUUCGGUUAUGUUGGUUUCCAUUUCGAAUUUCUUUCCCAUUUUGAUCGUUUUCAUUCUAUUAAUAUUACUAGUAUUGUUAUUGUUCAUCUUCUUGUUGGUUUGAUACUUUUUUUUAAUAAUAAUUAUUUUUUUGGGAUUGUUUUUUCCCAUUUCGAAAGGUUGGUAUAAUAUGCAACAUGUGGAUGUGUGCACAGUAGGCAUAUUCUGUGGGUUUUUUUCCUUCUUUAUGAGUUUACCUGUUUCGGGUGUGAUUUUUCGUUGGCUUUUUUCGUUUGUAUUGAACUUGCAUCUGCUUUUUUCCCUUUUAUCUGAUUCCUUGCCGGAAAAAUUGAGACUAAAUAGCUGGUUUCAUGUUCGUUUUGGACCAAGAUUUUUUAUAUCCUAGUUCGCUACAUGCCAUCCAUGUUUCAUGCAACAAAAUAAUAUACAUUAUAAUAUGCGCACCGUUGAAAAUCAGAAGAGAAAACGGGGUACUAGAAGCGGUCCAGCUCUGCAAGUCUCCCAUGCAGUGGCAAAUGGCAGUUUGUCAUCACAGUCCCAAAAGUAUACGAGUCAAGAAAUCUCGCUCCUCUCUCACCUUGUUUUUGUUUGAUAUACGUGUAGGAUGAUUUAAUGAAAAGUUUGCUAAACACAAAUCUUCUCCAGUAAUAGAAACUUGAGGGAGACUAGGUGGAGCAACGUGCAUGGAUGUGACCUGUAGAAAAAUGGGACCUGUUGAAUCCUAAAUGCUAAUCUUUAAUGUUGGCAAAUGCACAGAGAUAUAAUGCUUAUGAUGUUAGACAUAUACGCGAGUGUGUGUGUGUGUGUAAGUAGAGCUUAAUAAGUUUGGUUCCUCAAAAUUAUAAAUCUUGAUGUAGGUUAAAGUUGUACACAUCAUACGAGCAGAUUAAAGUUGCCUUCCAUAGUUUGCUAGAUUUGGUGUUGACGUAUACAAACCUAAAUUGAAUAAGCUUUCCUAGAUUCGAAACUUCUGCCCCAUACCAAGUACUCUUUUAUCUUGUAUCAGAUUAGGACAAUACACUCUUUUAACGGAUUGGCACAGCACUUCCAGUUCCUUUUUGCAUGCAUCCUAUUGGAUCUUUCUGCUAGUCUUUAAUGGGAAAAUUGGAGGGGGGUCUGGAAGCAUUUUCCACUUGCGAUCUUGAACAAAUAGCAAAGAAUAUCUUGGAGUAGCCAUAAAAUGUGUAGUAAGUGGGCACAUAUGCUUGCUUUGAGUUCUUGCAAAAUAGUAUUGUGUUCUAUGGGCAUCAAGAAGAGAAGUGCUCUCAGUUGAUGUACAUGAAAAGACUAGAUGGGAUCUGCCUUCAACUUUUGAAAUCUAUACUAUAAAAGGAAAGCAUAGAAACCUGAGGGAUGAAUGACUGUUGCCCUUUAGUUUCAUGAGAUAUUUGGAGGAAACAUUUUUUUUUUUAUAUGUCCAAGUAACGUACACAUUAAAAAAGUACAUGAUCACUUGGAUCAGUGCAUAUUUGAGUGCCAUUGCGAAAGAGUAAAGUUGGAAUAAAAGAUUACGUUAGAACUUCUACAUGAUGUAAUAAUCCCGGCCUUGAGUUCAUGGGGAGAUCUGUUCACUUUGACCUUUAUGUUGUAUAUGAUGAUUGUAUUAGAAGCUUUCUUUGGUUCUGCAUUCCAAAACUUGCAUACCUCAAGGUCAUACGGGGAUUGUGUGUUGGAUGAACAAGCUGUCUGCGAAUAGCAGAAUGUGGUUUCAUGCUCUCCACCUCAAGUAGAAGCUUGGUGAUUUCUUCCAGCUAUCCAUAACGGACCCCGCUAAAAAUAAGAAAACAGAUAAACGAUGAUCAUCUAAGAAUUUCCAGUGUUCCACUAAAUGUGUAGAUGUUGAAAUUGAGAAACUAGGAGUGAGAAGUGCAUUAAAAAUCUGAAUGAAGGCCAAGCAUUUGUUGAUUAAUAACACCCCUUUGAAUUGUCAUUUUAAUCGUUGAGCAAGAUCGGACUAGUAACUAACAUGUGCUAUCAACCUCUUGGUACCGUGUCUUCAUGUUUAUAUACGUUGCAUGCUUGUAAAUUCGUUGUGCUGGAACGACGUUGUGAGAUUAUUAAGUACAUACAUUAAAGCUGCAAUUGCUUGACACUGGCCUGCGAAUCAGGUUUGAUGCCACAAUACCUCUGGAUGUUUUUGUGCUCCCUUUUUUAUGAUAAUUCAGUUUUCAACACAUCUGUUUUAACAACUUUUUUUUUUUUUGUUCUUUGUUUUAAUUUUAUUUUAACCUCCCGCCCCUUCUCAUACUCUUCCAACUCUCAAGUGCCAGUCCUAGGAUUCGGACUCUAAACUUGAUAGUGGAGAGAAAUAUGUUGCUCAACUUGCAUACUCUCCAGAUGGAACAUAUGGGGAAUUAAACAUUAUUGCUGUUUAUUUAGUUUUCCAAUAUCACUAACCUUUCUGCAUAUCCUGCUUUUAAGCCAAGAACAAUUUGUUUUGCUUUUCUCUGUCAAAUCAAGGGUACGUUAAAAAAAAAAAAGAAAAAGAAAAAACUACUAGCGAUUUCAAGAAAUCGACCCGGACUGAUGGAAAAAGAGAAGCGAUAUGUUACUUGAAACAAAACAAAACUUUUUGUUCAUUGCCUUCGCACUUUUUCUUUUUGUUUUCUUUUUAAUUUUUGAAAAUUUGAACCGUCCUUUGUUGGAAUCUUUCGCAGUUAGAACAAAUUGUCAUUAUUAUUUUCAAGUGGUGUAAUUGAUCUAUAGACCAAUCAAAAGCUUUUUGGCCCCCUUUACAAUGCUCUCUUACAAAUGAAUGCUACAAAUUUUGACCCACAAACGAGAAAAAUAAAAAAAAUGGGUGCGGACUGGAUAAAAUGUCAUCCAAGGGUCGAGCGCAUACUACCGCAUGCCUUUUCGUUUGUGGCGGCUAUCUGACUGAAGAAUAUACAACAAAACUUGUAUGUGAAUUUUAGAGAGAUGUAAAUAUCCUCUCUCUUUUUAUAUUCCCCUUUUCUUUUUGUGGAUUGUCUAAUAGAGUAUUAAUGCUUUAGAUUAACAAUUCACAAGAGGUCAUUGUAGUUCUAUUUCUACGCUAAGAAUAAAAUCCUCAAUUUGAUGCUCGUAAUUAAUAGGGUAGUCACAAAUUCAUUCGUGCAGCCUUUCCUCUUGGAAUUGUUUAUAGUUCCGUUUCUGCAUGCUUCAUUAGCUUAGUUAGAAAAUAAAUUUAUUCAACUUCGUAAAUAUUCCAUACCAAGUAGUUUAAAUUUUUUUUUUUUAAUCUCAAAAUGAUUGAUCUAUAGGUUGGGAAUGAGAACAAAACAGGUUAGUCUUCCGGACGUCCUUCAAUUUUCCUACCACACAACAUGUGUGAGUUAGUAUUCCUUAGGUAUUAGGAGCGGAACUCGUAGUCAGACGUUACCAAUCAUUGUUGAAUGAUUUCUUGAGUUUUGCAUCGUCAGACUUGGAAUUCACAAUCACUAAUGAGAAAAAAGAACUUAAAAAAAGAAAAGAAAAUGCAUAUACCAUUCGAGGGCAUAGGGUAAUAAUUUAAUAGCUGGCCACAGGUUAGGAAAUUUUUCAUUCCAUUCUUUGGUUUGAAAUUUGAGGCAAGCAAAUCGAUCAAAACAUUAGCAGACAAACUUGAGAUUUUUCGUCUUGUGGUCAUGUAUAUAGCUGUUGAACUCCAUAAUGAAAUAGGUAAGACAUGCAUUGCUUAAUUAUGACCUCACCUCAUUGUGAUGGAUGACAAUAAUCAGUAAAGAGGACAAACAGAAAAAAGAGUUGCAACAUGGGAAGCUGAUCCCAGUUGUUUUAUAUCAGUAUAGAAAGGCCGGACUCCUCCAGUGCAUUAGGCUUUAUAGGGUAUGGAAAUUUUAGGAUGGUAGGCUGAGGACAGCCGCGUGCUCGAUUCUGCUGCUGCUGCUCUUCUUCGCUUUCUUCUCUAAUUGACCUGGGAGAAGUGGUCCAAUUUUCAACUUUGUUGCAAAUGUUGCUACUAUAUCAUGCUCUCGAUUCCAUCUUUCCCUAUGGGUUGGGGUGCCGAUGGCUUAAUCUAUCCUCCUUUUUCCAUUCCAUAAAUGUGUCAAAUAAUAAUGGAGUGGCAGCUAUAUAUGGCGGGCUGAUAAUAUAGGAGAAUGCGAGCCCCUUUGCAUGGAGGGCUGUCCUUCCUCUCUGGAUUUCCUUGACUAUGUCAUCACUCGUACUCAAGGUGUGGACCAUUUUCGCAUGCUAUUUAACCAUAUAUGGUGCAUUAUGUAAAAAGUGACAAUCAAAGUCCGUAAACUUUAGGGCACUUAUUUCUGAUUUAAACCAUCAACGUAUCUACCAAACAAUCCACAGACGACGCAGAUUCAGCACUGCAACGUUGAAGAAAAAUUUCGAAGAAACAAGAAACAUAUAUAGGGUCAAUAAUUACUUACUUUUAGAAUAAGAACAUAAACUUUUUCCAUAAAUUAUUCGUAUAGCAAAAGAAUAAAAUAAAAUUGCCUUGCAGCCAAAGAGACAACAACGAAUCUACAAAACAAACACAAGCAUAACUUCAAUAUUUGACAAGUUAAAGAACCAUUCUAUAACGUUUUGUUUGUUUAUGAAAUUUGUUCAAAAAAAUUAAUGCUUAACGAAUUAUAAAUUUAUGCAUCACAAAAAAAAAAAAAAGAUUUAGCUGUAGAUAGGGACGUUUUUUAGUUGUGUUUUGGUGGGUGGGGGGGGUGGGAAGAAAGCAAAAUGUCAAAAAUUAACAUCUUAAUAUUUUUCUUUUCUUUUUUUUUGUCCAAUUAGGGGAGACUUUUUAGGAGCUGUUUCGUUUAAAUUUUCAGCAACACUGUCAUGCACCAUGAUAAAUUGGGGAAUAGCUAUGGGUUUGAUAAAAACCCGAAAAGUGUUAGAUGACUUUACACCAAUGGGUUUAAGUAAUAAAAAAAUAUAAUAGAUAACUAAAACUCUACUCUUUAGUAGUAAGUAGGGCUGCAAACGAACCGAACCGGUCACGAGCGGCUCGAGUUUGAUAUUGAUUGAGCUCGAGUCGAGUUCGAACUAGCCAAAUCGAACUCGAGUUCAAACUCGAUCUCAAAAUAUUACGCUUUAUUCGCGAGGUCAAAUAUGUAUAUAUAUUUUUUAUUUUUUAUUUUCAUAGUAAAAUUACUUAUAUAUCCCUAAUUUUUAAUUGUUUAUUAAGAAAAAAAUUAUUUUAUUCAUUUUUAAAAAAAUAAUUAUUUUUUAUUUUUUUGAGCUCGAACUCUACUUAAAUUUGAAUUGAGCUCCAGGUUGAGCUUUAAAUUAGCAGCUCGUCGAGUUCAAGUUCGAGUUCGAGUUCGAGUUUGAUAAAAUUAAGUCAAGGCUCAACUCAAUUAGGUCAAAUCUUGACUCGAUUCAACUCGUUUGCAACUCUAGUAAUAAGUCAUGAACCUAUUAAGUAAUUUUGAUUGACCUUAAACGUAUUGCUUAUUUGUAUACGGGUGUGAUUGAACCUUAAACAUUGUAUACGGGUGUGAUUGAAAUUGAAACAUAUUUCUUAUAUCAAAACUAGCUUACUUAAUGAACACCUCAUUAAGGCUUCUAAGGGAAAACAAGGAAAGGGGAUUUUUUAUUUCCUUUUAAGUGCAAGUAAGAGAUCUCAAAUCAGAAACCUCAUAAGGAGAAGGAAAGGCUUUAUAUACAAUUGAACCUACCAACUGAAGUUAUUGUUACCCUAACGUUAGCUAGGUGUUUGAGAUAAAAGAAAUUCUUCUGUUUCAAAAAGGCCAAAGAAAAAACGGUUCAAACAGAAUUCAUGGACUUUGGACUUUGUAUACAUACAAGACAAGUCCAUACCAUUCAUGGGCCAAAUAAAAUGCCCAUAUCCGAAUCCCAAAUUUCAAAUAUCCUUUUGCGGGCUUUUGGUCCCCACCCAAAAGAGAGUAGCCAACAAAGGAAGUUUCCAACGGCAUUUGACAACGACGUGGUUGAACGUUCGGUAGAAUAUCACCAACGCGGCAACCAGAAAAAAUAUAAAAAAAACUCAGAGGAAGCAAAACAUUGCGACAUGCUGGCACAAGGACAGAGCACUUUUUUAAAUUCCGGCCAAUCAGAACGAAAGAAGAAAAAAGAAAAAGAAAGUGCGGUAUUUUUAGAACGUGAGAAGUCAUAGGGCGCGUAAAUUCCCCUCCGAUUACUUCCUCUAAUCGGAGGGAUCAUAAAUAAAAGCGCGUUCUGCAUUUUAUUCGUUUGUUUUUCUAGCAACAUUUCCUGAUUGGGAAAAUAAUAUAAAUUUAAAAGGAAAAGGAUUAAUCGAAGAAGGAAUGAGUUCUCCGACGAUGGAUCUGCUGCGGUCGGAGCCGAUGCAAUUGGCGCAGUUGAUCAUACCUAUGGAGUCGGCUCAUCGCACAAUAUCGUAUCUCGGUGAUCUCGGCCUUUUCCAAUUCAAAGACGUAAGCUGCACGCUUCACAUUUUUAGUUUUAUCUUCAUGAAAUUUUGUACUAUUUUGUUUUCCUGUUUUUCUUCUAGUUUAAUUUUCCGUUCCUGAAUAUUUUUGUUUUAUCAUAAGCUUGAUAAUUUUCUAGCUGCAUUUUGCUCUUCUCAUGACUAUUUUUUUCGUAUGUAUCUCUGUUUUGGUAAUGUUUGCAAUUUGAUAGUAAUUAGAAAGAGGAAUACUAACUACUGGUUAAUCCUAUGCAAAUGCAAUAGAAUCAGUAGCUUGGAUUGUAAUCAAGGGAUCAGAUAAUCUAGUAUUGGAUUUUAAUUGUGUCAUCAGAUUAUCUACUAGUUCAUGUAACUACAUUGCUAGGUUGAUGCUCAAUUUUUUUGUUGGCGUAUGUGGAUUAUUGCUGGUAAAAGUAAGCAAAAUAAUCAAAAUGCAAUGUGGAAAUUAAUGUAGAGUUCAGAAUGAUUAACAAGUCCUUUGCAUGUACCUUUUUCUUUUCAAUAUUACCCUUGUUGUCAAUCUAUCUUUGUAAACAUUGAAGUCAUCUUGUUCGGUAUCAGGAUGUGGAUAUCCUAAGAUUUAAUCGUCUUGUUUCUUUUGUAUCUAUGUCAAGAUUCAAAACCUAAAAUGUUCUUGAAUUGCUAACUUUUCCUUGUUUUAUACAAAAUAUGACCUUCUUUUUGUCUGCUUCACCAGCUCAAUACUGAAAAGAGCCCUUUCCAGAGAACAUACGCUGCUCAGGUUUGUUUUAGUUCUAUUAAUGACCUCUCACUAAAAUUUGUUUACUGAAUCUUUGCCUAUUUCAGCAUAUUUGUGUCUGUAGUGGAUCAACUAAAAUGAACUUGUAAUGAGUUUAUUUUGUCUUCAGUUUAAUCCAUGUACAUUCUGUUGGAGUGCCUUUAAUUCAUUUUCGUUAUUAUCUUUUAUAUGGAACUUUCAAGUGAUCUAGUUGGAAGUUAUAAUUAGGUUUACAUUAUCCCUUUUUCCAUAGACUAGAGAAUGGGAGAUGAUUAUGUUGUCAAACUACUAAUAAUAGGUUCCGGAGAAGAACAAUGUCUAUCUUAGUCCUAUCCUUUGAUGAGACUAAUGGCUUCGUGAGGUUUCUCUACCGUAUCUGACAUCCUUGCAUACUUUCUAGCAGCACUAACAGUGAAAGUUGCUUUCUACAGCUUUUGAGAUUGUCAACAUGCUGUUAAUAUUGAGGAAUUUACUUGAUUGCGUAGGUUUGUCGAUAAUGAAAACUUUUUUGCAGAUGAUAUUUUUUAGCUGCUAAGUCCACCUCCAGCUCAUGCAUGAUGUACCUUCUACUCCGUGGGAUAUUUAGCUAGUUAUUGAAAUCAACUCAAGAUAAAAUCUUUGUCUACUUUAAGUUGAACUUGUUUUAUGUUGCAUAGACUCUACACAUCUAUAGAGUUUCACUUUUCUUUUAAUAUGAUCGGCAUAGUUGGUGAAACUCGUCAGUAUAGUCUUAAGCUAAUAGAGUGACAUUUUUGGGUUUAAUAUCUGCCAGAACAAAGAUACCUCUUUCAUCCCCAUCUUACUUUCUGAGAAGUUUCACACGUCAACUUAAGGGUUUAAAAUUUGGUGGAUGAAGUGCAACGAAAUCUAACUAUGUUGGGUUAAUCGUAGCAAGAGAUUGAGUGAAGUCUUAUAGGCUUUAAGACCACCCCCAUUAAAAUGCAAGAGUGACUAUGAGCGUGGCUUAAGAAACUGGAGAAAAGAGAUACACAAGUCAGUUUUUUGUUUUUGAUAAUCCCUGACUCUCUGGCCAUGUUGAACUGCUUAGAUUAGGACAAAUAACCUUCCAUUCUGCAGCCAUGCCCAACACUAAGACUUGGUGUUUUCCACAUCUUGACGUCCUUUCUUUUUCAAUUUUGUAUGAGCUAGUGCCUUCUGGAUCUUCUUUCUUUGCUCAGUACACUCUAAGGCAUCCAACUUCAGUAAAAUUGUUGUAUGGAGAGAUCGAAAGGAAUGACAUUCUGUUGCUGAAUAAUCUUUUUGUUUUUCCUUUACUUAAUAGAUACUUCUCUGUAAUUUAUCAGUAUUACCUACGAAAUUAUCAGAUAUAUCUCAUAUAACUCCAUAAGUGGAGGAAGAGUAGUUUCUUUAUGUAUAGAUGUUGAAGUAUGCAGUUUUCAUUGGGAAGUUAAAGUCUAUGAUCUUCCUCUGUGAUCACCUUCAUUAAUUAACUUUUGUUUGUAGAAAUACAACUGAGUUUUGCAUAAUCUUUAUUUUCAUACUAACUAAUUACGUGAUGCAUGGUAUGUAGAUCAAAAGAUGUGGAGAGAUGGCACGUAAGCUUCGUUUUCUCAAAGAUCAAAUGACAAAGGCAGGCUUUUCACCUUCAUCGAGGUGUAGCUUUGACACUCGUGUUACUUUGGAUGAGCUAGAGGUUAGUUAAGUUUUGACUCCCUGUGCUCACUGUAUGUGGUGGUCAUUGAUGUGAUUAGUUAUUCCAGCAUUUGCAACAGUAUCAUCAACAUCAAUGACACCAGUUACAACAGCUGCAACAAUAUAAUCAUGAUCACUAUUUUUCAGUUUUUGGACAAAUUAUUCACCAGUGUAAUUGGAAUGGUAGGUAAAACUUGGAGAACUUGAAGAAGAGCUUAUAGAAGUGAAUGCCAACAGUGACAAGCUACAACGGUCACACAAUGAGCUUUUGGAGUAUAAACUUGUUCUGCAGAAGGUAAGGCCACGUUGCAGGCCUUUUUAGUUACAAUUCAAGCAGGAAACUAUAUAUUUUCAGUUGUUUCUUAUUUUUGCACUUUCUUUCCCAAACCUGUGAUCUUCAUUACUUUUCAAUCUUGGUCAAUUCAGGCUGGUGAAUUUUUCCAUUCAGCACAAAGCAUUGCUGCAGCCCAGAAUCAUGAAUUUGAAGCAAAUGUUAUGGGAGAAGUAUCUAUUGACAGUCCUCUAUUACUCGAGCAAGUAAUUUUGUCUGAUUUGACCUUAUAUAGUUUUCUCAAGCUAAGACAUUCAGUUAUUUGUCAAAAUUUUCUUUCUAGGAAGUAUAUUUUGAUUGUCAAGUUGAAUAUUGACUAGGAAAUGUCUGUGGAUCCAUCAAAACAAGUAAAGCUGGGUUUUGUUAGUGGCCUUGUAGCAAGGGAGAAGUCAAUGGCUUUUGAACGAAUUUUAUUUCGUGCAACUCGUGGAAAUGUCUUUCUAAAGCAAGUGGCUGUGGAAGAUCCUGUUAUUGAUCCUCUGUCAGGAGAUAAGGUUGAUACUCGAUAUUAGAGCUGUUUGCCAUGUUCUUAUCUUUUGGAUUUGAUUGUGGAUGAUGUCCCAUAUCUCUAUGUGCAUUUUUGUUUCCUGUGAUAUAGAGGUUCUCUGUGCUUUUGAUCUGCAGUGGUGUAUAAUGAUAGGUUUAAAGGUAUGUUUGAUGGACUACUGCAAUAAUUAAAUUUUUUUUUCUUAUUGUUUUCUACCUUUUAGUCUGCAAACUAUUUUUCCUACAGUAAAGGGGCGGAUGAAAACUAAUGAAUGAAAAUCACAUGAAAAAAAUAAACAUAGUUCGAAACUAUCCGAUGCCCUGCAAUAUCUUGUUUCCAUAACCUGCAAUUUUUUCCCUUUUGUUGCAUUCCUUUUGUUAUCUUAUUUAAGUAUAGUCCUUUUAUGUAUUUCAUUUGCAUAUAUGUAACCACCGGAUGCUAAUUUCAGAUUGAGAAGAAUGUCUUUGUUAUCUUUUACUCUGGGGAAAGGGCAAGGAUGAAAGUAACAAAGAUUUGUGACACGUUUGGAGCAAAUCGCUACCCAUUUACAGAUGAUAUAUCCAAACAAUACCAGACAAUAUCUGAGGUAUGGUUUUCUAUUGAAGAGGAUUUAGGUUGAUCAUACCAUCUCCAGUUUUUUUGGGAUGUAAUGUGAGCUUUUCAUUGGUCUUUAUGUUAAGAACAUGUCUGAGAUUAAUUAAAUUGCGAUAUUUAGGUAUCUGGAAAGCUUUCAGAGUUGAAGACCACUAUAGAUGUUGGACAACUUCAGCGAAGCAAUCUUUUACGGACUAUUAGCUUUGAAUUUGAGCAAUGGAACCUUUUGGUUAGUUUCCUUUGAAUAAAUAGUUGGUUUGAUGUUUGCUCUCCUUGCAUAGAGGGCUUGUAUUUCCUCAGUUUGUCUGGCAAUCCUCUUAAAUCACUGAAAUUGCAAUGCCUCUAAAGGUGAAGAAGGAGAAGUCAAUAUAUCACAUUUUAAAUAUGCUGAGUUUUGAUGUGACCAAAAAGUGCCUUGUGGGAGAAGGCUGGUGUCCCAUCUCCGCAACAGAUCAAGUAAAGUUAUCAUAGUACUUUCAAUGGUGCACUUUCUUUGUUACCUUUGCAAGUUUUCUGAAACCAAAGUUUUAGCUGUAACUUAUCAAAUGAUAUUUGACUUGGCAGAUAAAAAACACACUGCAGCAGGCAUCUUUGGAUAGCAACUCCCUAGUUGGAGCUAUAUUUCAGGUCCUGCAAACCGAGGAAUCACCACCUACACAUUUCCGCACAAACAAAUUUACUUCUGCUUUCCAGGAAAUUGUUGAUGCAUAUGGGUAAGUAAUAAUAGGAAUUGAUCUGACAUUGAGAUAUGUGAAAAUGAAAACUAUGUUAAAGGUGAUAUGCUUGUUGCUUUAACAAUUUCAAUUGUGUGUUGUACUUUUCUUGGAGUCUGUCAUUUGGAUUCAGGUUUUGCAAAUAUUCCUUGAAUCUCCUUUCUUUCAACUGUUCUAGAAUGUACUUGAUUCUCUAAUGUGAACCUGCUGAAAUGACUUUGAUAUUUUUGUUUGGGUACUUAUGUGUGAGGCCAAGGAGUAUUAAUUCUAGGUUUGCAAAUAUUCCUUGGACAUUUUUGCUUCGACUGUUCUAGAAUUUAUGUAAUUCUCUAACAUUUUCCUCGUGAACUUAACUUUCUUAUUUUUAUUAGGGUAUUUAUAAAUGAGAUGAGAAUUUGUUUGGGGGGGGGGGGUUUCUGUUGCUUUUAAUGUUAUCAUAUAUUGUUUGAAAUUUACUUGGCCAAUGCCUCUGGUAAUUUUAAAGUUCCCUAGCGAUGAUUUUCUAGAAACUUUUUACAGGGUGGCAAAAUAUCAGGAAGCAAAUCCUGGUGUUUUUACUAUCGUAACAUUUCCCUUUUUAUUUGCCGUUAUGUUCGGAGACUGGGGGCAUGGCUUAUGCUUGUUUCUCGCUACAUUGUAUUUUAUACUCAGGGAGAAGAAAUUGUCCCACCAGGUAAUUUUACAUUGUUUCUGGUUCUUAUUUUUCAAGAGUUCAAUUGUCUAAAUGUGCAUCUUGGAUCUCUCAACUAUUAUGGCUAUCUAAUGUAUCGCAACCUUCAUCAGAAUAUUACAUAAUUUAGUGCAGAUUAAUAUGUUCUUUUCACAAAGUUGUGUUUUAUUUUUGAUUCCUGUGUUUUUAUAACUUUAGCCAUGCACAAUUGAUUUGGUGAUCCUUUACUGCAUUGUCAGUGGAAGAAACAAGUUACUCGAGAGUAGUUAUUAUGUGAUAAACUCUCAGAAUACGGGGAUAUUCUGAAAUAGCUUUUAUGGCUCAGUUAGAGCUGAAAAAUUUGACGUGGAUGUAUGCCUCUUGCUUUUCAAUUACAAGUGGCUGGAGCCUUCAUGCACUAGACUUUAUAAGUUACAUUCUGCGUGGCAUGGUUCAAGGUUCACCAUAUGUUUCAAGUAAGAGGUGGAUGUGAAUGGUAAUGCUUGAACAGAAAAAACUAUCAGAAAAGUUGGCUGCAUGUUUUAUGAUGUAGGUGAUAGGGUAUUAUAUAUUAAUAUUAAAGCUUCACAUCAUACAGUGUAUAAUAUGCUAAAUCAGCUAUUUCAUGUUUUGUUACAUAUCUUUCUUGAUUGGAUAAUUUUUGUUGAUUUAUAUCAACAGAAGCUUGGAGAUAUUAUGGAGAUGGCUUUUGGUGGUCGUUAUGUUAUUAUGAUGAUGGCACUCUUCUCAAUAUACACAGGAUUGAUAUAUAAUGAGUUUUUUUCUGUUCCUUUUGAACUUUUUGGACGUUCUGCUUAUGACUGCCGAGAUUCUUCAUGCAGGUGUCCAAUUGCUACCUUAACUUCUAGUCACACACCCCCACCUCGAAAUUAAAAAGUAAUAACUAUUCACAAUCCUUUAACUCACUGUUCUUUUCAGGGAUGCAUCUACAGUGGGCUUGAUUAAGGUGCGUGGCACCUAUCCUUUUGGUGUUGAUCCCAAAUGGCAUGGCACACGCAGCGAGCUACCAUUCCUCAACUCUUUGAAAAUGAAAAUGUCCAUUUUACUUGGCAUAGCACAGAUGAAUCUCGGAAUAGUUUUAAGCUAUUUCAAUGCAAAGUUCUUUGGGAACGAUAUAAAUAUCUGGUAAGUUUAGAUUCCUGAAUAUGUGCUGCUGCUUGUAUUGCAUGUGUGUAUUUCAUUCACACCAUGCAGUGUUCCAAUUGUAAGUCUUUACAGAUGCAUCUGGGCUUUUAAUUGCAUGGUAGCACAAUAGAGCUCGAAUAUUUGAUGUUGUUGUCGUGAUUGAUAAAUAUGUGCUUUAUACCAUAAUAUUGGCUCGUGUUUACAUCCUUUUGCAGGUACCAGUUUGUUCCCCAGAUUAUUUUUUUAAACAGCCUGUUUGGCUACCUAUCACUUCUCAUAAUUGUGAAAUGGUGCUCCGGUUCCCAAGCUGAUCUCUAUCAUGUAAUGAUAUACAUGUUCUUGAGUCCUACUGCUGAUUUAGGUGAUAAUCAGCUAUUUUUUGGCCAGAAAUAUCUCCAGGUUUUACUUUUAUUUUGACGAAUAAGUUCUUGGGACCAGUUCAGGUAGAGAAGAACUCUGACUCAUUUCAUGUAUUCCAUUCUACACUAUCCUCAGAUUCUUUUGCUAUUGCUUGCGCUUGUUGCUGUUCCAUGGAUGUUAUUUCCAAAGCCCCUUCUUUUGAAGAAGCAGCACCAGGAAGUAUGUUCUGAAUUAAUUGCAUCGCCUCUGUUAAGUUGGUAGUUUUUACUCUGUUGUCUUCCUGUCUUGAUAUCUAUUUACUUCCAUAUCAUGCUUUCUCAGAGACACCGAGGACAAGCCUACAGACCUCUUUAUAGCACUGAGGACUCCUUUGAACUCGAGAUACAAAGUGAUUUACAUGGUCAUGAGGAGUUUGAGUUCAGUGAAGUUUUUGUCCAUCAAGUAAUCCAUACAAUAGAGUUUGUUCUUGGAGCAGUCUCUAACACAGCUUCUUAUCUACGUUUGUGGGCACUUAGGUACAUAUCUGAAGCUGUUGAAAAUUUUAUUUUAAUUAAAAUACAUAAUCACUUGCUUCUGGAGAAUCUCUUCUUUUUCCAGUAUGACAUUUGAUGUAGAUUAUGAAGUAUUUGGAAAACUCAAAUUCGGUGGGAAGUUGUUCUUUGCCCAAGCAUGAAUGAAGAAACAAUGUUUGCAAAUCCCUAACAAAUGAAUGAGCUCCCUGUUGUAUUCACCCUGGCUUUUUUUUUUAAAGGUAGUUUUGUGUUCUUAAUAAUCUUAGAACCAUGACAAGGAAAGUAUGAGAAACUUUUAGGCUGUUUGCAAUCCCAAUUAUCCUUUUUCUUUAAACCUAUGCCGAAUUCUAUUUCCUUAAGUUGGAUGUUGACAUGUUGUCUUGAAAUCAUAACUGGACUACUCAGGAAUCAUUGAUAAAUGCAAUUCUACUCUGAUCAUAUUCAUUCAAUCUACUUUAUGCUGAUCUAGUACCACAUAAUGAUUGGAGCAUUGUUGGUUUUGCAGUCUUGCACAUUCAGAACUUUCCAGUGUGUUUUAUGAUAAAGUUCUGCUUCUUGCUUGGGGGUAAGGAUCUCCGUGAUUUUUUUUUUUUUUUUAAAAAAGCUCCUAAAAAUCUUGUAGAAUCUGUUUUAUGACUCACGUGAGGUUCAUUGUGAUCAUGGCGUCAGGUUCAACAACGUCAUUAUCCUCAUCAUUGGGAUUAUUGUGUUUAUAUGUGCUACUGUUGGUGUAUUACUGCUGAUGGAAACCCUGAGUGCAUUUCUCCAUGCCCUGAGGCUUCACUGGGUAGAAUUUCAGGCAAGUUUUACGAGGGAGAUGGUUACAAGUUUUAUCCAUUCUCAUUUGCAUCACUCAGCGAGGAUGAGGAAUGAUAGGAGCAGUUUUUUUAACAUGACUGAGUUUUAGAUGAUUCAUUUGUGAGUAGACAGAUAUUAGAAGUCCCAGAGGAAUUGCUGAAAAUUUUCGGAGAUUCAAUUCUCUAAAGCACGCCCUUCCGGGUCAAUGUAGUAGUAAUUGUUUUAUGGUGAAUCCCGCAGGCUAGCGGUCAUAUUAGGUCUAUCCGUGGAAAUUGUUACUAAAUGGGCAAAGAGUUCCGGUGGCCCUCAAAUUAUUAGCCGGAUGAACUUUUGGCCCCCAAACAAUUAAAAGUAAACUUUUGGCCCCCGAUCUAUCUAAAGUACAAAAUGUUAGACCUUCUGUCAAAUUCAGCAGUUAAUACAGACGGAAUCUACGAACACGUGAGACCCGAAAUACAAAGGGCAUACGAAAUGGUGAUUCUGGGGUGCUCUUCUGAAGCGGACGCAAAAAAAGGGCAUUGGGUUGAAGGACUAUUUGAGGGUCGUACAGCCCUUGGAAGCCGAGGCUAGGGAGUGUUACUUUGAAAAUACAGGGUACAGCAGUGAUGAAUUCAUAGAGAUGUUGGUUCUUGACAGUUGUUUCAUUCUGGAAAUCUUUCGAAAGUUUGGAGGGUUGGUGCCGGUCGAUCCAGAUGAUCCGCUUACCUCGAUGUUGAUCCAGAUGUCGUGGGUGUAUGCUUACCCCGAUGACGAAGGAUCAGGGCCGUCUUUGGGCCGAUUGACUCUAAAUUUCUUCAACAAUGCACUGCAAAGGUUUGAGCUAGUUUUGGCCAGAUACAGCAGCCUCGAACUCGAACGCAAGCAUUUGCUGGACUUUCUUUGCGAAAGCUUCAACCCCUGGAACACGGCGAACCUAAACCCGAUGGGUUUCUGAACACUCGCGUAAUCGAAUGCGUCUCGCAUCUCUCGUACGCUGGAAUUGACCUUAAACCCAGCGAGGAAGAGAGCUUCUUGGCCAUAAAAUUCAGGCACGGGGGGUAAUUGAGAUGCCCAGAAUUGCUUUGGAUGAUUUCAUGAGCUCGUUUCUAUUGAAUUGUGUCGCCUACGAGCAAUGUCAGGCGGGUUGUUCCAAACACAUGACGACUUGUGCUACAUUCUUGGAUUGCCUGAUAAAUUUGUCCAAGGACGUCCAAUUUCUAUGCGAUUGGAACAUAAUCGAGAACUAUUUUGGGACAGAUGCUGAAAUUGCCAAAAAUGCCCUUCGUAUUUCGGUGUGCUUCUCACGUAGUCGUAGAUUCCGUCGGUAUUAACUGCUGAAUUUGACAAAAGGUCUAACAUUUUGUACUUUGGAUAGAUCGGGGCCAAAAAUUUACUUUUAAUUGUUUGGGGGCCAAAAGUUCAUCCGGCUAAUAGUUUGAGGGCCAUCGGGACUUUUUGCCCUUACUAAAUUGAUACUCAUGAUGCUAUGAAAGGUAUAACCACGAUUUAUGGCCCCUAGGAUUAAGUUGUCCUGACACCCGUCAUUCGCUGUUUUGUGAAUGAAAGUUCCAUUUAUUUAUCUAAGAGAAGACUUUGCUGCGGUUAAUUUCUAGGUAAAUCCGUCUUUAAGGGUCCGUUUGUUUCGGGUGAAAAUGUUUUCCAGGAAAAUAUUUUCCUAAUUUCCCGUGUUUGGUUGCACAAAAGUUAUUGAAAACAUUUUCCUAUGUAAAAUAUUUUCACUCAUCUUAUGGAAAACAACUUCCCUUCCAAACUUACUGAAGUUGUUUUCCGAAAUGCAUGCAUCGCCUGUAGUAUGUUCUAAACUUACUGAAAAUAUCUUGUAGUAUGUUCUUUUUUUUUUUUAGUGUAAACAGGAGGAUUCGAACCCAAAAUCUCUUUCUUACACUCCCUCCCCCGUACCACCCAACCCUCCCCCUAGUAUAUUCAAAAUAAAAAAAAAAAACCUCAUUCUGUUCAUCCUAUGCUAGUAAUUAAUUAUAUAUAAUAGAGACAUUCUUUUCUAGAGAAACUUUCAGCAGUGAGAGUGCAAGAUAUAUGUCACAAUAAGCAUUGCAUGUGAUUGAUAUUUGACACUAAAUGGCCAGCAAUUUGUUUAUUGCUUAAGGAGAUAUAUCUUUAUUCAUAUAUACAUUUCUCCAAGAUUUUUUAAAAUUAAACAAUAAGAUAAAUUUUUUUAUUUUGCAUGGGAAGAAGUAUGUAGUUAUAAUGUGUAGAAAGUAAAGAUAGAGAUAAAAAGAAAAUAUUUCAAAAGUUAAACAAACACCAGAAAAAUGAAGUAAGAAAAUAUUUUCAAUAAGCUAACCAAACACCUGAAAAAGAUGAAAGGGAAAUGAUUUUCAUGGAAAAUUACUUCCACGGAAAAUAUUUUCCCAAGGAAAACAUUUUACUUCCAACCAAACAGACCCUAAAGGUUGCAUAUUUGCAUAUUGUCACAACAUUGGAUAUCAAAUCUGCUGCAAAAUGUACGGACCUCUUAUCCAACCUCUCACAAAGGGAUCACAACCCACACCAUAAAAGAACUUUCUGCCCAUUUUCAGAAGCAGACUUAAAAAUAAUUCUCAAACUAAUUACGCGCGCAUGGUAGUCAACAGAAGUUACAGAACUUCAAAGUGCAUCCAUAUUGCCACGAAAAAGGAAAAGAACAAUAAUAAUUGGCACAACGGCAAUAAAAAAUUAAAACCGCUAUUCUGAUAUACGUCGAGUUCUAAUUUAAACCAUUUUAGGAAUGUUUGUUGGAGCCUCGAGGUGAUACCAUACAGACCAUCUUCUAGAAUACAUUAAUGGAAAGUAGUUCCUAUAUACACAAUACCAAAUAAGUUCAUAUUUAAGUACAGUACCAACAAAUGAAGAUCAAUGACUUGAUACUGAGUUGAUGUGUGAUAGUACCACCAAAUGAAGGUUCAUGACUUAAUACUGAGUUCAUGUGUGAACGGCAGCCACAGAUGAGACCAUAGAAUCAACCCCGCACAAAUUGCGAUCAGCCCUACAGAACUUGUAGUAGCCACUCUCUCCCCAGUUUUCACCCCACGAGUUCUUUAUGAUCCAGUAAGGCUUGUCCUUGAGCCGGAUAGGGGCGUAGCCCGCAGCACCAUACCCAACUAAAAGCACCCCGUGAUCCUGGCUCUUUGAACAAAUGUAUGGGCAUGAAACCCCUCCAAUAUAUGUCUGCAUCCAGAUUGCAUUGAUCGCAACUGCAGAUGGGAAAAAAAAAAAUAGAGGAAACAGUAUUAGCAUCUGUGUCGUCAACUCCCAACUAAUACAGAAAAUUUCACUUCUCAACUCUCUCCCAGGCAGCUUACUCUGGGGGUGUUCAAGUAUUGAAGUAGCUGAUUACCUGCAAGAGGGCCAUGCUUCACCAGAUUUGCAGCAAUCUGAUCUUCGUCGGUGGAGACAACACUGAAGUUGGACACUUUAGCAGCAAUUUUGCUCUUAUCAAAUUUACAUUUCUCAUCCCUGCCAGUGUAAGGAUAAUCUUGCUCACGUUCAACUCCACCAGAUUUCAGUAUGUACUCGAAGGCAUUGUUCAUCAAUCCGCCAUUACAACCAGAAUCACAUGAAUUAUAUUCCGCUGGAUCGCACUGCAAAAGGUGAAUGCUAAGUCAAUUAAGACAACACUACAUCAACAAGCUCAAUAUCUGCAGAUGCGCAUCAUAAUUUCCUCAUUACUACACAAUACACAUGCUAAGAAGACCGACCAACCAAUCUGGGCACAAACCAACAUCGACCCCAUGUCCAGGAACAAAAAGCAAUCUGACCAUACCCUCAAAAUGCACAAAAGCUUAAGUUCAUUUAUAUCGCGUAUCUGUCUUCAAUUGAAAAGGAAUUUUAGUUUCACAUAAGAGAUUCAGAAAUAUGCUCAUCAACAAAGGGCACCAAGGUACUAAUAAGAUUAUGCAGUAUAUACUUUAUCAAGUCAAACUAGAUUACAUCCUGUGGUCUUUAUGCGAGGCAGACAACAACAGUGAAGAUAGAGAUAAAAAUACAUAGAAUUGAGAGUUGAACGGUCACAAAAGUUCAUACUUCAAAUUAAUCUUGUCGUGAGGCAGAAACCUUCAAGCUAGCAACAUCUAUCCUUUUUCAGUUAACCAAUUUGAAACAAAACUAUCAUCCAGACCCUCCAAUUUUUGUACUCAGCAGAAAAAUUUUUUAAAUCUUGGAAAUAUGCAUAACAAAAUUACUAAUUGAUUAUCUAGCUACUGAUCAGAGAUAGGUUUCUGUCCAAUAGUUCUUUAUCCAUUAUUCACACCACAUGCAAAAGUCAACGCGACGAAAACUCAAACCUCAUGGUCACAAUCCACAAGCUGCUGCUCGCUGAGGCUGACUAGCUCUCUGGUGGCCAAAUAGUGCGCUCCUUCCAACGCUCCGGUUGUACUGAAGGACCAGCAUGAUCCGCAGGAACCCUAACAAACACCCAAACUCCGUCAAAAUCAUUGGACGAAACGUUAUAAUAGGACUCACGAGUGACUAAAAUGAAGCUAACAAUACCUGAUCUUUGACGGGGUGACGGCUCCAUGGUCACGCCAGUCAAAAUCAGCAGGAAGAUCGGUAGGGAGGAUCGGAGCCUUGUUAGCAUCGGCAGGGAGUCUGAGCCGUCGCUUGUGCUUAUUAAGUCCGAGGUGGUUACGCCGGAACUCGGACGGAGUGAGGUCAGAGAACCUAGUAACGCCGUGGACGGCGGAAGGGUCAAGGAGCUGGUGGCGCUUAGCACGGCGCAAGUUAGCCUUGAAAACCGAGAAUCGGUAGUCGUGCUCCUCCUGCGUGGAAUAAGUCUUGCCGUACUUGGUCUUGAAGAGUGAGAAAUGGUGAUCUGCGUUCAGGAGAGGAUCAGCAUCAUCGCCGUCCGAUGGUACGACCUGUCUGAUCAACGGAUCGUCUUGGAUGAUGGACGCGGCUGCAAGGUCGCCUGCCGCGGACGCAACCGCAGAGGAUAGCAGAGUGAAGCUGAGAAGAAGAGAGAAAAGAAAGAGACGAUCCAUUGGACUUGAAGAGUGCACUGUGU